UUAGCAGUUCCGACUGAAUUUAACGUCUGUUAUUUCUUUUGCAGAAUGCCUUGUUUCACAAAAAAGAACACUGUUCAGAUAUUUUCUCUGGACUGUCAAUUUCUGCAUUUCAUAAUCAUGUGAUACCUGUGUUGGAGCCCUCCCAAAAACCUCCCCUGUAAGAUUUCAAAGUUAAGGAGAUCAUUCAAAUGACAGAGGUUUUGGUCCAUGUUGGUUUGUCUCAACAGUUAAUCUUUGGAAAGCAGUGUUGGAGAAAAUAUCAGCAACAUGUGAAGACUGUGAUUUAGUUUCAUAUGAUAUGACUAAAGAAAGUUAAUAUUUUUGAUUUCAUGGUUGUAUGAACAAAUGCUUUGAACUUUCCAAACAUCAUUGAAAAAGAACAUAC